rnacentral:rRNA from 1 species
GUCCAGACUCCUACGGGAGGCAGCAGUAGGGAAUUUUGCGCAAUGGGCGAAAGCCUGACGCAGCAACGCCGCGUGAUUGAUUAAGCCCUUCGGGGUGUAAAGAUCUGUCAGUGGGGACGAAACUUGACGGUACCCACAGAGGAAGCACCGGCUAACUCCGUGCCAGCAGCCGCGGUAAUACGUAGGGGGCAAGCGUUAUCCGGAUUUACUGGGUGUAAAGGGAGCGUAGACGGCAUAGCAAGUCUGAAGUGAAAGCCCAAGGCUCAACCAUGGGACUGCUUUGGAAACUGUUAAGCUGGAGUACUGGAGAGGCAAGCGGAAUUCCUAGUGUAGCGGUGAAAUGCGUAGAUAUUAGGAGGAACACCAGUGGCGAAGGCGGCUUGCUGGACAGAGACUGACGUUGAGGCUCGAAAGCGUGGGGAGCAAACAGGAUUAGAUACCCCAGUACAA